AGCUCCAAUAGCGUAUGUUAAAGUUGUUGCAGUUAAAAAGCUCGUAGUCGGAUUUCGGGGCGGGCCGACCGGUCUGCCGAUGGGUAUGCACUGGUCGGCGCGUCUCUUCUUCCGGAGACCGCGCCUACUCUUAACUGAGCGGGCGCGGGAGACGGAUCGUUUACUUUGAAAAAUCAGAGUGCUUCAAGCAGGCAGCUCGCUCUUGCAUGGAUUAGCAUGGGAUAAUGAAA
rnacentral:rRNA from 1 species